rnacentral:rRNA from 1 species
UUUUUAAAAUGAGAGUUUGAUCCUGGCUCAGGAUAAACGCUGGCGGCAUGCCUAAUACAUGCAAGUCGAACGGAGGUGCUUGCACCUCAGUGGCGAACGGGUGAGUAACACGUAUCUAACCUACCUCAUAGCGGGGGAUAACUUUUGGAAACGAAAGAUAAUACCGCAUGUAGAUCUUAUUAUCGCAUGAGAAAAGAUCAAAAGAACCGUUUGGUUCACUAUGAGAUGGGGAUGCGGCGUAUUAGCUAGUAGGUGAGAUAAUAGCCCACCUAGGCGAUGAUACGUAGCCGAACUGAGAGGUUGAUCGGCCACAUUGGGACUGAGAUACGGCCCAGACUCCUACGGGAGGCAGCAGUAGGGAAUUUUUCACAAUGGACGAAAGUCUGAUGAAGCAAUGCCGCGUGAGUGAUGACGGCCUUCGGGUUGUAAAGCUCUGUUGUAAGGGAAGAAAAAAUAAAGUAGGAAAUGACUUUAUCUUGACAGUACCUUACCAGAAAGCCACGGCUAACUAUGUGCCAGCAGCCGCGGUAAUACAUAGGUGGCAAGCGUUAUCCGGAUUUAUUGGGCGUAUAGGGUGCGUAGGCGGUUUUGCAAGUUUGAGGUUAAAGUCCGGAGCUCAACUCCGGUUCGCCUUGAAAACUGUAUUACUAGAAUGCAAGAGAGGUAAGCGGAAUUCCGUGUGUAGCGGUGAAAUGCGUAGAUAUAUGGAAGAACACCUGUGGCGAAAGCGGCUUACUGGCUUGUUAUUGACGCUGAGGCACGAAAGCGUGGGGAGCAAAUAGGAUUAGAUACCCUAGUAGUCCACGCCGUAAACGAUGAGUACUAAGUGUUGGGGUAACUCAGCGCUGCAGCUAACGCAUUAAGUACUCCGCCUGAGUAGUAUGCUCGCAAGAGUGAAACUCAAAGGAAUUGACGGGGACCCGCACAAGUGGUGGAGCAUGUGGUUUAAUUCGAAGCAACACGAAGAACCUUACCAGGGCUUGACAUCCAGUGCAAAGCUAUAGAGAUAUAGUAGAGGUUAACAUUGAGACAGGUGGUGCAUGGUUGUCGUCAGUUCGUGCCGUGAGGUGUUGGGUUAAGUCCCGCAACGAACGCAACCCUUGUCGUUAGUUACUAACAUUAAGUUGAGAACUCUAACGAGACUGCUAGUGUAAGCUAGAGGAAGGUGGGGAUGACGUCAAAUCAUCAUGCCCCUUAUGUCCUGGGCUACACACGUGCUACAAUGGCUGGUACAAAGAGUUGCAAUCCUGUGAAGGGGAGCUAAUCUCAAAAAACCAGUCUCAGUUCGGAUUGAAGUCUGCAACUCGACUUCAUGAAGCCGGAAUCACUAGUAAUCGCGAAUCAGCUAUGUCGCGGUGAAUACGUUCUCGGGUCUUGUACACACCGCCCGUCACACCAUGAGAGUUGGUAAUACCAGAAGUAGGUAGCUUAACCGUUUGGAGAGCGCUUCCUAAGGUAGGACUAGCGAUUGGGGUGAAGUCGUAACAAGGUAUCCGUACGGGAACGUGCGGAUGGAUCACCUCCUUUCUAUGGAG